rnacentral:rRNA from 1 species
UACGUAGGGUGCGAGCGUUGUCCGGAAUUAUUGGGCGUAAAGAGCUCGUAGGCGGUUUGUCGCGUCGGCCGUGAAAACUUGGGGCUUAACUCCAAGCUUGCGGUCGAUACGGGCAGACUUGAGUUCGGCAGGGGAGACUGGAAUUCAUGGUGUAGCAGUGAAAUGCGUAGAGAUCAUGAGGAAGACCAGUGGCGAAGGCGGGUCUCUGGACAGUUCCUGACACUGAGACACGAAGGCCAGGGGAGCAAACGGG